rnacentral:rRNA from 1 species
CCUACGGGGGGCAGCAGUGGGGAAUAUUGGACAAUGGGGGCAACCCUGAUCCAGCCAUGCCGCGUGUGUGAAGAAGGCCCUCGGGUUGUAAAGCACUUUCAGUGAGGAAGAACGCCUGGUGGUUAAUACCCAUCAGGAAAGACAUCACUCACAGAAGAAGCACCGGCUAACUCCGUGCCAGCAGCCGCGGUAAUACGGAGGGUGCGAGCGUUAAUCGGAAUUACUGGGCGUAAAGCGCGCGUAGGUGGCUUGAUAAGCCGGUUGUGAAAGCCCCGGGCUCAACCUGGGAACGACAUCCGGAACUGUCAAGCUAGAGUGCAGGAGAGGAAGGUAGAAUUCCCGGUGUAGCGGUGAAAUGCGUAGAGAUCGGGAGGAAUACCAGUGGCGAAGGCGGCCUUCUGGACUGACACUGACACUGAGGUGCGAAAGCGUGGGUAGCAAACAGGAUUAGAUACCCCUAGUAGUC